AGUGUAGGCGGUUACUUAAGUCGGAUGUGAAAUCCCCGGGCUCAACCUGGGAAUUGCAUUCGAUACUGGGUAUCUAGAGUUUGGUAGAGGUAAGUGGAAUUCCGGGUGUAGCGGUGAAAUGCGUAGAUAUCCGGAGGAACAUCAGUGGCGAAGGCGGCUUACUGGACCAAAACUGACGCUGAGGCUCGAAAGCGUGGGGAGCAAACAGGAUUAGAUACCCUGGUAGUCC
rnacentral:rRNA from 1 species